rnacentral:rRNA from 1 species
UACGAAGGGGGCGAGCGUUGUUCGGAAUCACUGGGCGUAAAGGGCGCGUAGGCGGCCCUCCUUGUCGCGUGUGAAAGCCCCGGGCUCAACCUGGGAACGGCGCGCGAGACGGGGGGGCUGGAGUUCGGGAGAGGAGCGUGGAAUUCCCAGUGUAGAGGUGAAAUUCGUAGAUAUUGGGAAGAACACCGGUGGCGAAGGCGGCGCUCUGGACCGAGACUGACGCUGAGUGAGCGAAAGCCAGGGGAGCAAACGGG